GAGCACCUUGCCUAGUACUCUGUGGACCUCACCACUCUGGGAUACUCAGGGCAGGUACAGCUGGAAGGAGAGAGUCUGAAAGGAUCUGUGGUGUUACACUUGGACACAAUGAUGAAGGCCUAUCAAGUUGAAACAAGCAACAUAACAUGCUGAGGAAACACUUCCAGAGGCACAUUUUUAAGUCUAGUGACAGCAAACCCCAGUUCUUUACAAAACAGCUUCCACCUGACAGUUUCAAGUAUCAGACAGCUGUUACGCACCUGAUUCACUCUUGAUCAUAUUGGCAUGUUGUAAUUCCCAAAGGAGUUCUUCCUCAAUUCCCAGAUAACCUUUUGGCAUGGUAAGCUAAAUGGCUGUUGACAUUGGAGAGAAAGUCAGAUCAGCCUGGUACAUCACAAAGUAUCCUUCUGUGGUUUCCCACUCCAGAGACCACGCUGCUGUGCGAAAACGACUCUGCCCCACUAAGGUGAAACCAAGAGACUUGUCACUAAGUGCGUCUCCCAGAUUCAAAUUUCGCAGUGGCCCCAGGUUCCUUUGGCCCUUCCUCACCUUCUUUCUUGGCUCAACAGUGAUCAGUCAAAACAGCCAGAAGCAACAACUUCAUGGAGAAAUACAUGCAGCAACAUGAAAUGGAAACGUAUCAUAAAUGAAGCAGUACCCAUUCGCACCCAGCUUGUUUUUCCUCCUCCAAAUCAGCAUUAUUCUACUGCAGACCACGCCAUACCAUGACUUAGUGUGAGCUGAAACAACACACGUGGUACAGCUUUUCAAGGAGUGUGUGAGCAACAACAUUACUCUGGCCAGAAGUCUUCAAAGCAUCAGCAAACAGUCCUGAUGUACGGAUGAGCAGGACACAGAGAAAGCACUGCCUGGUAAUCUUGUCUUAUGGAAGUUUUUUUCCCUAAAGGCCAAAGAGAUCAGAUGACUGUGAAGUACUGCUUUGGGAAGGAAUGGGAUGUUUGAAAUUAAUUCAAAAGCAAAUCUGAACAAAAGUUCUUCUGUAGUCUUGCUAUAGAGAGAACUCCCUAAAAGAAAAAUAAAUUAACUACAUGGAUGGCGGGAAUCUGAAGAAAACUGAAGGUGAAAGAUCAGUGAUAAAACUGACGCAAGACACAGCAUACAGUGAAGCUACUAAAUAGUUUGAUAGCAAAUUUUAGAAUAGCUGCAAAACUGCUAAACAGAAGAAAAAUUCCAAAACCAGAAUGGCAACUGAGACACUACUCCAACUAAACAUCCCAUGUCCCCAUCUUGUCUUACUUCCCACAGGAUAUGAACUCAAUUUUCAUCACAGAGACACCUCUUUCCCUAAAUACAAAUCCUACAGAGUUAAUUACCGCUGUGGGAAUCAACAGCUGCUUUACUUCCUCAGAGGUUAACAAUCUCUAUGGUCAAGAGAUAAAGAUAUAACAGCAAACAUCAAAUAUUAGUCACCACACCAAGAAGUAACAAAUUCUCUUUUGCAUUUCAAAUGCAGGUGGUCUGACAUUAGGUCUAAAAUUCUCAUUUAGAAGCAAUCCAAAGUGGCAUUUUCAAUGCUUUUACAAAUCUCCCAGGACCACAACACCUAUGUGCACUGCUGUUGCUAUUCUGUUCCAGGAAAACAAAGAACACACCAAUUCAUCUCAGCAGUGGAAUGGAGCAUCCUUUCUCACAAAAAAAAAACAAAACAAAAAGCAUUAGGAAGCGAAGUCCUCUCCAAGUGCACGCAGAAACAUUAGGGCAGUAACAGGCCACAUCCUACCUAGGACACACUUAAGAAAAGGGACUUCAUUUUCUUCUUUUCAAACACCCUAUAGUUUCAAGAAAAAUGAAAGCUUGGUAAGGUCUGAAGUGGAGCUCUUUCCCCCUUUCCCAUCUCCACCAUUGUCACUGGAAAAUGACAUAACUCAAGAGAACAGUUUGAUAAGAAGACAGCUUUCAGUGAUUAUAAAGUUUCAAAACUUUCAGCAAUGUACUCAGCAAUUACAGCAUGGCAAAAGAGUUGAUGCAUCGUAUCACGUGCAGUUGCUACUACAAAGAGUUACAGGUUGCUUUACUGAGUGCAGUACAUCAUCAGAUUUCUUUUUAUCCAGAUCAGCCAUUAUCCGCAGAAAUGGAGAGUAAUGCAAACGUGCUUGCCAUGGCAUUUUGAAGAGAUAAGAGAUGUACAACUGCUCUAAAUUGCAGCUUUAUUAGCUUUCAUGUGCCUGUGGUAGGGAAGUGAGGAGCAAAGCAGAAAUCUGAUGCUUAUUUCUCCAUGUGAGAUGCUUUACCAAGACCGAUAUAAAACUUCCAUUCUAAAAAUAAGUCAAUGUCAGCAGGGGUGCCAUGCUGACAGACCCACUCAGAGUUUCAGGACUAAAACAGAAUUGACAAGUUUGUUAUCUAAUUACUGCUUAUUAAGCAUCAGCAUAUCUUCCAAAAUGAACUAGAUAAGCUUGUCAGCUGUACAAAGCCACCAAAGACACAGUGACACUUUUUGCAAGAAUGGUCGUUUGGCAUCGUAUCCUUCUUAGUGUUUCCUCAGGUGGUUUGAUGGAAACACCAAUUUUUUCUUUUGCUGACACUGCACUGAUGCAGUAAUAUCAUUUUAUGUAGGAAAAAGGGAAGGUGACAGUAGAAGACAAAGCAGCAAUGAUUCACGUCCUGUGGGCAUUAUAAGAAAUGUGUUUUCAGAAAGAGUCCAAAAAGUGAAAUUAGCCUCUGGGCAAUGGGCCAGCACAUUGGAAAGGUCCUCAAAACUUGCAGUGCUUAAGUAAUUGACAGUCUCCAUACCAGUCUUGCAUGAAAAGAUGAAUGUCACCCUCAAACCAAGGAGAGCCAAUUGCAGAUAAAAGCAACCAUUAGGUCAGCAACAGCAUAAGCAGCAAAGCAAAGCAGCAACAGGUCAAGAGAAGACCAGGUCAGGUCAGAAGGAAAGGACAAGAAAACAGAGAUCAGAGUAUUUCAUUGCUUGGUAAUUCAAGAGCCAACAGAGAAACUAUAGAAGAGACAAAGCACUGGGAUUUGUGUUUUAGGGACAGCCGUUUGUACAGAUGAGUUGAUUCACAUUUCAAAACCUCUAAGAAACAUUAGGUCCCCCUAAGUCACCAGAUGUCUUUGCAUAGGCUUUCACAUAGUUUUUCCUUCACCAGCUGAGACCAGUGGCUUUAUCACCAGCAAUUUAUCACAGAAUCAUAAAAUAUCCUGAGUUGGAAGGGAUGAGGCACAAGGCUCAUUUAGUCCAGUUCCUGGCUCCACACAAGACUGCCCAAAACACAAACCAUAUUUCUGAGACCACAUUUCUUUCUCACAGCAUCUGUGAAAUUCCAUGACAAUUUCCCAGCCACUCUGUAAAUCAAUUCAUCAGUUUGAGAGAGGGUUGCACCAACUUGCUAAACAAGAUCUUUCAACAGGAUUCUUACUUCCAAGCAAUAUAUUCUUUGUAAAAAAAAAAAAUAAUAGUAAUAUAAAAAAAUUGUGACAGGAUUACUAGAAGUAGCACCUUGAAAACCAGUGUGGCAAAUUGGCUUGCUUGGUUUGGAUUUUAAUUCUUGCAAAUCUAGAUUUUCCCCCCUAAGUGGAUCCACUAAAGUCUUUGGUGUCUGAUGCACAGCAAAAAGCCUCUAUUUUCUUUUGCUUACACAAUGUUACUAUGGAGAUUAGGCAAAUACAUAAACAGUCUUAAUUUUGUCAUUUACAUACAUUUCUAUGUGGAAGAAAUAAGUAUAUGAGAACACUGGAAUAAUGACAACAGCAUAAAAUGAUGUGAGACUCAUUUACAGUACUGGGUAAAAGUGAAUAAUUAAAAUAUACACAAUUAUAUGGUGAACAAGGUAUUUGACUAAUGUCCAUCUCAUGCUGCAGCAAUAUGCUGAACUGGGAGGAAGACAUCCACAAUCUGCACAUCAUCUCAACCGGUAGACACUGCUCACAAUAGCUUGUAAUGAAAUAUGCAUUUGCUGUAUUCUUUACAGUGUUUAAAAAGUGUUGGUGUUCAGACUUUUUCAAUAGCAGACACUUUCAUUGUGCUGUGCAAGGAAGCUGCUGCCUUGUUACUGUAAGGCUUCAGUUUAGUUAGCAGAUUCUGAGAGCGUUGUCUUCAUUUUUUUUUUUUUAAUUUAAAGUUGACUAAUAUAAAAAUAUUAGUCGUCUUCUUUCUCAUUCCCAAAGGUAGUGGGAAAGAACAAAACCAGAAGAGGUUGCUGGAAAAAAAAUUAGUUAUUCUGAAACCACGAGGGACACGAGAUUAUCCUCUCAAAAGAUGUUAAGCACUUGGGUACACUUUUGAAAGAGAUCUGGUCUAUGUCCACCACAAUCACUGAAGCAUCCCUUACAUUUAUACAAGAACUAUUCUUAAGUAAUAUCUCUUUCCUCACGUUUCAGCAUAUUUACAACAUAUUUAACAAAAUAAAAUACUUUGAAGUUGAAAAAUAAAAUAAGAAUAGGGCUGCUUUACUUAAAAGAGGAUUCUCUGUUUGCUGAAUGAAUUACUAUCAAGAGUGAAAUAUUUAAAUAAUUUUGAUUUAAAGAAAUCACACUGCUCCCUAAAAUUCUAUUGUGAGCUGAAGAACAUUACAUCAUACAUACUACUAUGCAUAUGCCAAUAAGCCAGAAAAAAAAAAUAUACAACACAGCCACAGGGAAAAAUAAAAACAUUUUUUUUAUUCUGUUGCGCCAUGGCUACUCUCCCUGUCAAACACUGCUAGAAUAAUAUGACUUUGAGUAGUAACUCUUCUGCAUUGAGCAAAAGCAUCCUAAUAGGUCAGAAGCCAACUGUGAAGCGUACAGCACUCACCAUGGUGGCAACAUCCACUUGAUUGCUUAUCAUUAAGUCUAUUUUUGUAUUUCAUGCCACAAUAGUGGGAAAAAUUGAAGGCAGAAAAAAGAACACUAGAUCAUGGAGCAUGAGUGAACUACAGAGUGGGAACUUUCAAGAAGAGGUUGUGCAUAGCACAUGGCUUGGGUCCAUUGGGAGGGCAGGCACACACACUGCAUCUGAGGCUGACCACUGUUAAGUGGCUGAGAACAGCUCCAAUGUCCCCUCCCUGCAGAGGGGCAUAAUUAGUCCUGCUGGCACCAAGUUUAAUCACCUGAGACAAUCUCAAGAAUCACAACUCUAAAAAUGAUGUUUUUUACAUCUCUAACCCCCAGCUUAUACUUCUGUUUACAAAUCACCAGAAGCAUGUAGGAUACAUCCUAUUGCGUCAAUUUUUUGUACAAAACAAAUAGUCAAAAUUACAUAAACAACUGAGACCACACAUUCCCAUAAAUCCAAUCUCUCAGGUUUACAUAUAUAUUGCUUGUACAAAAGCUGCGGGAACUAGCAAUGCUGUAAAAAUUUGCACCACAGAUAAAUACAACAACCAAUGGUUAGGUUAAUAGGCCUAUGGUAAAGGCAACUGGAGGCUAUUAACAUCUUUCUCUGUUUCAAAUCACCAGAAACAUACCAUUGACAGGAAAGCCCAUGAUACAUCUUUCCAAAGUACACCAGACAAAGAACAAGCAAAAAAUAGUAUAUUUAAAAUCACUAGUAGAUUUUCCUUGUUAUUAAAAAUCCACUUCUGCCAGAGGAAUUUAAAUAAGAAUGAUGCAAAAGUUGAGCUGAAUACUUCGGUAAGCCUUACUAUUUGUUUAAUGCCGAUAAUGGAAAGUAAUAAUGUGAGCUAAGCAUGUUACUAUACCCAUGGAUUUUUUUUUGUCCCAUUUGUUAAGCAGUUAAAUUCCUUACCAGUGCCAAUGGCAACUCAUUUUAGGAACGCAAAUUAAAAUUUAAUUUUUGUUCCUCGUGAAUGUCAAUUUUAUGCCUGUGCUCUACAUUACAUCUACGUAAGGUUUCAGAAAAGUCUCUGAUGUGUUAUGAAAGCAUAAUAAUGCAAGUGCCUACCUUUUUCAGGAACCGUACUCCAUAGGUAAAUAUAUAAAGGUAAAAUGUAAAUCUCCACCUGCAAAAGGUACAAUAGAUUAACUCUAGGAUACCAGCUUUACACAAUUCACAAUUCAACAAACCGUUACUUAGAGCACAACCAAUCCAACAUAUCCUGGUCAUAUUAACAAAAGUAGAAGCAAAAUUCUAGGCUGUUCCUCUACAACUUUCAUUAUCAAACAUUCUGCUCAUCUGUCAGCUUCUUCUCAGCUUCCCACCCACCCUAUGAAAAUAUUGUUUAAUUUCAAAUCAGGAGAAAAAUCUUUCAAGGAUAAUUAAGUUCUGAAAAGUUUUGUGAAAACUACUAACAGAGAACAAAGGACAAUUCACAGGCCUGUUGCAGGAAAGUCCACGUGUUAUUAAAUACUGGAAAACCUACCAAGCUUAGGGAGAACAGAAGAAUCCAAGACAGCGCUCAUCACUUUUAAGUGGGAAGAACUGUAAUCUUAUUACUAAGCAGAGAAUUCAAAUAUGAAAGAGAUUUGUAAGAAACCAGGAUUCAUUAAUUCCACUCUGAUAACACUCUCUCCUUUGAAAACUGCACUCCAAUUCAAUAAAAUACUUCUAUAUAUAAUUAGAACUUAUUUCAGUGACAAUUCAGAACUUGUUUAAAUUAAACAUCUAUUUCAUACUUCCCAGUUCCGUUGUUACUCUGUUUCAGAGGUUGUUAGUGUUAUACUUGCUUCAGUGAGGAUUCAUUUUGAAGGGCUCUCAUUUGGGAGAGCAGCAUUAACAUUAAACCAUUUGCGUGCAAAGAACUUUGAUUUUUACAUAAAAAAUUAACACCUAGGAUUGCUACCACUUCUGAUACUCUGGAGUUACCAAGCAAUCAGCUAAAAAGAAAGAUUUACUGCAAUUACUCUACAGCACCAAUUUAGCACAACAAUAAGAAAUUUUAUUCAGCUUUCAACAGGCAAUGUUAGGGUGCUGUGCACAAAAUAUCAUCUUCAGUGAUGAGAAGUAUAACAUACAGCAAGGAGGAAUUGAACAGAGCAGAUUCCAGAAAUUCACUCUUGGUUUAGCGAGAGCAUUUGCAUCAGAUAGAUAUGUUGGACAAAGACGUAUAUCUGUAACUUAUGUCUGCUUCCAAAGAGAUGCCUAGCUACACAUUUCCUAGAGAGUUUCCUAUUCCAAAGCACACAUGAAAUAAUUGCUGGGCUUCUAGGUCCUCUUUUCAGAGACAAGCUAAAAGUAAAGAGAACGAUGACAAAGAAGGAGAGAAGUCAGCAGAAGACCAAAGAAACCAUCCUUGCUUCUGUGGCAGUCUCUCUUUUGCAAUAAAAGGCAGCAUACUGAUCAUCUUCCUAUCUUUUGGCCGAAAACUGGCUUAGGAAAGAAAGGUCAAUGGAAGUAUAAGGAAAUAAAAGAAAAGCCUUAUGCAAUGCAAAUUCUUACAGAAA